rnacentral:tRNA from 3 species
GGCGGCAUAGCCAAGUGGUUAAGGCGACGGUCUGCAAAACCGUUAUGCUCCGGUUCGAAUCCGGAUGCCGCCUCCA